AGCAGCGUGGCUCAGUGGAAAGAGCCGGGGCUUGGGAGUCGGGGGUCCUGGGUUCGAAUCCCAGCUCUGCCG
rnacentral:tRNA from 1 species